GUCUGCCACUGCUCCUCCUGCUGCUCUAGUUCCAUUUGGUAUUCCUCCUCCACUCUGUUCAUAUCCUUCAGCACCUGCUUCCAAGAUUGGCGGUUGGAGAUUGUAUCCCACCACCUCUGCACAUUCUUCCUUGAGUCAUACAGGAAAGGCCAGGUGGCAAAACAAUGCCCGGCUCGGAGGAUCAAACGCAUGCUCCUCAUGACGGAGCCAUUGUUCAAUGGAAGCCCUCUCCAGAACAUCCUUUCCCAGCAGGAAAGGAUACCCACGCUGUUCAUAGGUUUCUGCUAUGUAGCGGCAAAUUGCUCUUGAUUCUGCAGGUUUAAAAUUCCUGCACCAAUCAUUUGCAGGGUGGAUGCACAAGACAUAAAUUGAAUUCAACUUAUUUGAUUCGGUUCAAAAAUGUCUCAUCUACAAGGCACGCAUGCUGAUACAGGCAUGCAAGCACUCUGGACACAUCAGGCAUGAUCAUGGAUUUCUCAUGGUAUAACUUCACAACUGGAGCACCUGCUCCGGUGCUAAGCCCUGCCAUGACAGCAAGAGCUCAGGUUUGCUGGUUGAAGAGUUGAAUGAUAUGGCAUGCAAUGGUAAGCGACGUACCCGUUGAUAGCGAGGCGCAUGUGGUGAUUUCAAUCUCCAGGAUGGAUCCUGUGGUGACUUCGUCAAUCUCCAGGAUAGAUUGGCCGGUCGAGUCUUCGAAAAUGCUCAUAGGAGUGAGUGUGCGUGAGUUGAGUGUCUGCGUUAUACUGUAUAAUUCUCAAAAUUUAUAACAUUAAGUAAUGUUCUAGUGUUUAGAAAUGAAGUAAAUUAUUUUCAUUUGUGAAUGGUUGCAAAUUAUAUGCACAGUUUAUAGGCUCCAUGUUUUCUGAAUUCAACUCAUGUAGCCUAUUGACUGAUUCCACAUGGUAUUGAGUAUUGACUCUUUCUGAGGACUA